rnacentral:rRNA from 1 species
UACGUAGGGGGCAAGCGUUGUCCGGAUUUAUUGGGCGUAAAGAGCGUGUAGGCGGCCAGGUAGGUCCGUUGUGAAAACUGGAGGCUUAACCUCCAGCUGUCGAUGGAAACCAUCUGGCUAGAGUCCGGAAGAGGAGAGUGGAAUUCCUAGUGUAGCGGUGAAAUGCGCAGAUAUCAGGAAGAACACCCGUGGCGAAGGCGGCUCUCUGGGACGGUACUGACGCUGAGACGCGAAAGCGUGGGGAGCGAACAGG